CCUACGGGAGGCAGCAGUGGGGAAUAUUGCACAAUGGGCGAAAGCCUGAUGCAGCAACGCCGCGUGAAGGAAGACGGUUUUCGGAUUGUACACUUCUGUUCUUAGUGAAGAAUAAUGACGGUAACUAAGGAGCAAGCCACGGCUAACUCCGUGCCAGCAGCAGCGGUAAUACGUAGGUGGCAAGCGUUGUCCGGAAUUACUGGGUGUAAAGGGAGCGUAGACGGGAAGCCAAGUCAGCUGUGAAAACUACGGGCUUAACCUGUAGACUGCAGUUGAAACUGGCCUUCUGGAGUGAAGUAGAGGUUAGCGGAAUUCCGAGUGUAGCGGUGAAAUGCGUAGAUAUUCGGAGGAACACCGGUGGCGAAGGCGGCCAACUGGGCUUUAACUGACGCUGAGGCUCGAAAGUGUGGGGAGCAAACAGGAUUAGAUACCCUGGUAGUC
rnacentral:rRNA from 1 species